AUUAAGUUUAAUUUAAUAUAGGAUCUGCUCAAUGAUUUAUUAGAUAGCUGCAGUAUAUUGACUGUGCAAAGGUAGCAUAAUAAUUAGUCUUUUAAUUGAAGACUUGUAUGAAAGAUUUGAUGAGAAAUAAACUUUAUUAUUUAUAUAAUUAAAAUUUUAUUUUUAAGUAAAAAAGCUUAAAUUAUUUAAAGGGACGAUAAGACCCUAUAAAACUUUAUAAAUAUUAAUUUUAAUUUUUUUGGAUUUAUAAAUAUUUUAAUUUUAUUAUUUAUUUUAUUGGGGUGAUAAAAAAAAAUAUUUAACUUUUUUUAAAAUUUUACAUAAUUUAAUGAAUAUUUGAAUUAAAAUUUUUAAUUAUAGGAAAAAGUUACUUUAGGGAUAACAGCGUAAUUAAUUUUUUAAGUUCAAAUUUAAAAAUUAGUUUGCGACCUCGAUGUUGAAUUAAGAUUAAUCUUAGGUGCAAAAUUUUAAGUAUUAGGUCUGUUCGACCUUUAAAUUCUUACGUGA
rnacentral:rRNA from 1 species